GAUGAACGCUGGCGGCGUGCCUAAUACAUGCAAGUCGAGCGAACGGACGAGAAGCUUGCUUCUCUGAUGUUAGCGGCGGACGGGUGAGUAACACGUGGAUAACCUACCUAUAAGACUGGGAUAACUUCGGGAAACCGGAGCUAAUACCGGAUAAUAUUUUGAACCGCAUGGUUCAAAAGUGAAAGACGGUCUUGCUGUCACUUAUAGAUGGAUCCGCGCUGCAUUAGCUAGUUGGUAAGGUAACGGCUUACCAGGGCAACGAUGCAUAGCCGACCUGAGAGGGUGAUCGGCCACACUGGAACUGAGACCCGGUCCAGACUCCUACGGGAGGCAGCAGUAGGGAAUCUUCCGCAAUGGGCGAAAGCCUGACGGAGCAACGCCGCGUGAGUGAUGAAGGUCUUCGGAUCGUAAACCUCUGUUAUUAGGGAAGAACAUAUGUGUAAGUAACUGUGCACAUCUUGACGGUACCUAAUCAGAAAGCCACGGCUAACUACGUG
rnacentral:rRNA from 1 species